rnacentral:rRNA from 1 species
UACGUAGGGCGCGAGCGUUGUCCGGAAUUCUUGGGCGUAAAGAGCUUGUAGGCGGUCUGUCGCGUCUGCUGUGAAAAUCCGGGGCUCAACCCCGGACUUGCAGUGGGUACGGGCAGACUAGAGUGUGGUAGGGGAGACUGGAAUUCCUGGUGUAGCGGUGAAAUGCGCAGAUAUCAGGAGGAACACCGAUGGCGAAGGCAGGUCUCUGGGCCACUACUGACGCUGAGAAGCGAAAGCAUGGGGAGCGAACAGG